CCUACGGGACGCAGCAGUGAGGAAUAUUGGUCAAUGGGCGGAAGCCUGAACCAGCCAAGUCGCGUGAGGGAAUAAGGCCCUACGGGUCGUAAACCUCUUUUGCCGGGGAGCAAGGGCCGGGACGCGUCCCGGCCCGGAGAGUACCCGGAGAAAAAGCAUCGGCUAACUCCGUGCCAGCAGCCGCGGUAAUACGGAGGAUGCGAGGGUUAUUCGGAUUUAUUGGGUUUAAAGGGGGCGUAGGCGGGCUUUUAAGUCAGCGGGAAAAAUUCGGGGCUCAACCCCGUCCGGCCCUUGAAACCGGGGGC
rnacentral:rRNA from 1 species